rnacentral:lncRNA from 1 species
GUAAAUCUCUGUUGGAAGCUCUCAGCUCUGAAGGUUGCGAGACCCCUGACUUCCCACUCCACACCUCUAUAUUCCUGUGUGUGUGUCUUUAAUUCCUCUAGCACCACUGGUUGAGGGUCUCCCCAGCCGAGCUGGUCUCGGCAAAUGCCUCUUCUGCUUUCGUUAGGCUUCCUCUUUAUGUGUUCAGUUGGUUCUUAAUUAAGCUUUGUAGCCAAAUGGACGUGGGAAAGCCACAGUCACGCUUUACCUUCACUGUACUUCAGAAUUCAAUCCCAAGUACCAUUUGUGACAACCAGACCCUACAGUGACUCCCAAGAAUUUUCACCUCCUAAAGUCCACACCUUUGUAUAAUCCCUUCUCCAUAAGUGUAAUUAGCUUCUAAAUAACAGAAUAUGACAAAGGAUGUUGCGCCCAUGGUUAGAUUAUGUUAUCUAAACCUCUGCCUUAGCUAACUGAUCGAGAGACUCUUCUGCUGACCUUGAAGAAGAAAGUUGCUAUGAUACUGACUGCCAGUGCAGAAGCUAUGGAACAGGGGACUACCUGUGACCUCUAGGAGCUGAGAGGCUCAGUUCUAUAACCACAAGAAACUGAAUCCUGCCAAUAACCACCUCCACAGGUCUGUGAGCUCUGGAGAGAAAUGCAGCCUGUCCAGACUUGAAUGUUGCCUUGUGAAACCCUGGGUUUCAGGACAGGAGACCCCUCAAAGCUAUGCCUAGACUCCUGACCCAUGGAAACUGACAUAAUAAAUGGGUAUUGUUUAA